rnacentral:rRNA from 1 species
UGAAGAGAGGAGCUUGCUCUUCUUGGCAUGAGUUGCGAACGGGUGAGUAACGCGUAGGUAACCUGCCUUGUAGCGGGGGAUAACUAUUGGAAACGAUAGCUAAUACCGCAUAACAAUGGAUGACUCAUGUCAUUUAUUCGAAAGGGGCAAAUGCUCCACUACAAGAUGGACCUGCGUUGUAUUAGCUAGUAGGUGAGGUAACGGCUCACCUAGGCGACGAUACAUAGCCGACCUGAGAGGGUGAUCGGCCACACUGGGACUGAGACACGGCCCAGACUCCUACGGGAGGCAGCAGUAGGGAAUCUUCGGCAAUGGGGGCAACCCUGACCGAGCAACGCCGCGUGAGUGAAGAAGGUUUUCGGAUCGUAAAGCUCUGUUGUAAGUCAAGAACGAGUGUGAGAGUGGAAAGUUCACACUGUGACGGUAGCUUACCAGAAAGGGACUGCUAACUACGUGCCAGCAGCCGCGGUAAUACGUAGGUCCCGAGCGUUGUCCGGAUUUAUUGGGCGUAAAGCGAGCGCAGGCGGUUUGAUAAGUCUGAAGUUAAAGG